rnacentral:lncRNA from 1 species
AAUGACAGCAGUGAAUAGAAAUUAAGAAAAAAUACGGACAAAGAACAAAGCUAAAAUAAGUAUUUUCAUCUUCCAACAUGAAAUCAGCAGCUGUGAGAAUUUUUGAAAACUGCAUUUGCACUCGAAACUCUAGUGGCUUCAGAGUUAAAGAAAGCAUGCUGAGAGGUCUAUCAGUGCAAAGGGUCAUCUAUGAAAUCUCCACCUAGAUCUAAGGACCACUGGGCAAACAGCAUGGUGCUAAAUAUAACCAGCUGUUUUCCCCAGGAAGCAUAUCAG